GCAUUUUGUGAAAAAACUGCGGGUCUACGGAGUGGGAACUUUUCGGAUUUUAACUCAGCGUGUUCGAAAGUGUUAGUUCCCGUAAAAUAUUUCAGAUCUAAGACAUGCAUCAUGAAAGUGAACGAUAUCGGGUCACAACACGCGGACUAAUAUGUCAGGUUAGUAUAUUUCAUUCUGGGUUUAAGUAUUGUAUAGUUAUUAUCUAUUACCAUUCUGUUUUCCUCUGAGUUCAGUAUUGCAACAUUUUUCAUUGAGAACCUAAUCGUUGGUGAGGCUGUAGGCCGAGAUCUAAUGUGGUAAUUCGACAAGUCCAGAUUUGACUUCCGCUACCUCUCGCAAGAUUAAUAGGUAUUCGAUUGGUUAGUCUGGUAGAUUAAAUGCAUGUGAUUGGUCAUUGGUAAUGGUGGUCAAAAUCUGAACCCUUUCUAAUAGUGAGCAGAAGCUACGGAACCAUGAAUUUGACAAAUUUGCGUAGAUAACAAAUUACUGGUCAGUAAGUGUGACGGUACGAACUAAGCAUUGUUGCAUCAUUGAAGUUAAGGCAUUCUAUGUCCUAUAUGUCAUAUUCUAUUCCAUUCUAUGUCAUAUUCUAUUCCAUUCUAUGUCAUAUUCUAUUCCAUUCUAUGUCUAGCCUACGCCGACAACGCAGGCUAUUCUAUGUCACAUUCUAUUCCAUUCUAUGUCAUAUUCUAUGUACAGAAAACACACGCACACACCAUGGCUUGCGUCGCUGCUGCGUGACCUUUGCGUGAGGCCGCGUGGAUUAAUUUGCGUGUCCUUACCCUUGGGGUACGUAGUGCGAGGCAGACAUUCACCUGGCAUUCCCACCGAGAAAAUGGGAAGCUAACUUAUUCUAUUUUUUACUCAGGUAGACAUCCUGGUGAAUAUUUUGCAGUUCUUUAAGAAGUACUAAGAUCAUUUUUGCUGAAAGCUGGGACGUCGUUUUCUCGUAAUUUUCCAGCGGCCAACAAUAGAAUAAUAUAAUGUAGUUUAAAAAAUACAGAACUAGAAUUACAACGUAAGAAUUAGUAUAAUUCCACAAACAAAAGUUUCUGGAUUACUAGAAGCAUUAAAUUAAUAACAAAACGAAACUAUUAUUAAGUUAAUCCAUGGCCACGCAAGUUAACUUUGUAUUCGCAACAUGAAAAGUUGGCGUUUGAAUCAUGCGUUUGUUCAUGAUCUGAGCAUACCUUGCAUGAACACGAGUCAUUCGUACAUAUAUUGAAUGUAUUUUAAAAUGUAAUCGUAUUUUUUAGUCAAAACCAACUGUAUUACAGUAAUAGCAGGGUGUGAUAAUUCAUGAUUUAUAGUCGUACCUGACUGGUACUCCAAUGAUCAUUGUCGAGUACUUGAGUAAACAAAGACUCGAGGUGUACUUAGUGUUUAAAAUGAAGUACAUAAAGUGCAGGUUUCUGAAAGAUAUUCAGUAACCUAAAACUAUGAGUAUUAAUUUUUCAUUCUGAUCAUGUCGGACUUUAUGCACAUUUACCGACCAAAUUACUAUAAUUUUGAAAUGGUGAUUCCUUGUUUUAGUAACUACGGGUCUUGGAAAACUCAUAUGGUACAAGGAAAAUGUAAAUACGCAGAUAGCAAGAGUUCCGCGUACCUACGUGGUACUUAAGUACGAGAAUUAUCGCACCCUGAGUAAUAAUUGCUUUUCAACAGCAUAUUGUAGUUUUUGCAGUGUCCACCCUUAUUAAUAUACAAAAUAACGCACGACAGUAAUGAGUUCGUAUAAUAAGCACGUAAUGAUGUUUACCUUCAGUUUGUAAUUUUGUAUUAAUUAUAUAACCACCGAAGC
rnacentral:lncRNA from 1 species